UGGUCAAGUUAUUAAGGGUGCAGGGCGGAUGCCUUGGCACUAGGAGCCGAUGAAGGACGUGAUAAGCUGCGAUAAGCUUCGGGGAGUUGCACGUAAACUUUGAUCCGAAGAUUUCCGAAUGAGGAAACUCACUUAGAGUAAUGUCUAAGUAUCAUUAAGUGAAUACAUAGCUUAAUGAGGGGAACUCAGGGAAAUGAAACAGCUAAGUACCUGAAGGAAGAGAAAGAAAUGCGAGUCCGUAAGUAGCGGCGAGCGAACGCGGAUUAGCCCAAACCAAUAAAGUUUUCUUUAUUGGGGUUGAGGACAUACCACAUAUAAGAGGUCAUUAUAGACGAAGAAGUUUGGAAAAACUCAUCAUAGAAGGUAAUAAUCCUGUAGUCAAAAUAAUAAUUCUUUAGGUAUGAUCCAGAGUACCACGGGACACGUGAAACCCUGUGGGAAGCAGGAGGGACCACCCUCCAAGGCUAAAUACUACCUAGUGACCGAUAGCGUAUAGUACCGUGAGGGAAAGG
rnacentral:rRNA from 1 species